rnacentral:rRNA from 1 species
CAGUCGCCACGGUAAUACGUAGGGUGCAAGCGUUGUCCGGAAUUAUUGGGCGUAAAGAGCUCGUAGGCGGUUUGUCGCGUCUGCUGUGAAAUCCCGAGGCUCAACCUCGGGCUUGCAGUGGGUACGGGCAGACUAGAGUGCGGUAGGGGAGAUUGGAAUUCCUGGUGUAGCGGUGGAAUGCGCAGAUAUCAGGAGGAACACCGAUGGCGAAGGCAGAUCUCUGGGCCGUAACUGACGCUGAGGAGCGAAAGCGUGGGGAGCGAACAGGAUUAGAUACCCGCGUAGUCCCUGUCUCUUAUAA